GACGAACGCUGGCGGCGUGCUUAACACAUGCCAGUCGAACGGAAAGGCCCUGCUUUUGUGGGGUGCUCGAGUGGCGAACGGGUGAGUAACACGUGAGUAACCUGCCCUUGACUUUGGGAUAACUUCAGGAAACUGGGGCUAAUACCGGAUAGGAGCUCCUGCUGCAUGGUGGGGGUUGGAAAGUUUCGGCGGUUGGGGAUGGACUCGCGGCUUAUCAGCUUGUUGGUGGGGUAGUGGCUUACCAAGGCUUUGACGGGUAGCCGGCCUGAGAGGGUGACCGGCAAGAGGGGGACGGGGAGACGGCCCGGACGCCGACGGGAGGCAGCAGGGGGGAAUAUGGCACAAGGGGGGGAGGCCUGAUGCAGCAACGCCGGGUGCGGGAUGGCGGCUUGGGGGUUGUAAACCGCUUUCCCCUGGGACGAAGCGUGAGGGACGGUAAGGGGAAAAGAAGCACCGGCUAACUACGUG
rnacentral:rRNA from 1 species